UGAGAGGUCCCGUGGGUAAAUAGUUCGUGAACUCGGUCAGGUCCGGAAGGAAGCAGCCGCAGCGAUUUUUAUUUAGGUUGCGGUGACCUCUCACCU
rnacentral:SRP_RNA from 1 species